rnacentral:rRNA from 1 species
UUAAUUGAAGAGUUUGAUCAUGGCUCAGAUUGAACGCUGGCGGCAGGCCUAACACAUGCAAGUCGAGCGGUAACAUUUCUAGCUUGCUAGAAGAUGACGAGCGGCGGACGGGUGAGUAAUGCUUGGGAACAUGCCUUGAGGUGGGGGACAACCAUUGGAAACGAUGGCUAAUACCGCAUAAUGUCUACGGACCAAAGGGGGCUUCGGCUAUAGCCUUUAGAUUGGCCCAAGUGGGAUUUGCUAGUU